UGUAAAAAUUCAGACCAUAAUGUUAC
rnacentral:piRNA from 1 species